AAAUAGGUUAGGAUAAAUUUAAGUCUUUUAGGUUCAUAUUUUAAAGGUUAAUCUUAUU
rnacentral:tRNA from 1 species